CUAUCUGCCGUGGGCGCUGGAGAACUGAGGAGGGCUGCUCCUAGUACGAGAGGACCGGAGUGGACGCAUCACUGGUGUUCGGGUUGUCAUGCCAAUGGCACUGCCCGGUAGCUAAAUGCGGAAGAGAUAAGUGCUGAAAGCAUCUAAGCACGAAACUUGCCCCGAGAUGAGUUCUCCCUGACUCCUUGAGAGUCCUGAAGGAACGUUGAAGACGACGACGUUGAUAGGCCGGAUGUGUAAGCGCAGCGAUGCGUUGAGCUAACCGGUACUAAUGAACCGUGAGGCUUAACCUUACAACGCCGAAGCUGUU
rnacentral:rRNA from 1 species